AACGAACGCUGGCGGCAUGCCUAACACAUGCAAGUCGAACGAGACAUUCGGGACCAUGCGCGCACGGGUGCGUAACGCGAGGGAACCUGCACAUAUGUUCGGACUGACUCCCCGAAAGGGGUGCUCAUACCGGACAAUGUCUUCGGACCAAUGCUUUAUCGCCUUUGGAUGGGCCCGCGUUGGAUUAGCUGGUUGGUAGGGUAAAAGCCUACCAAGGCGACGUUUCAUAGCUGUUCUGAGAGGCUGACACACCACGCUGGGGCUGAGGCACGGCCUAGACUGCUACGGAACGGAGCAGUAGGGUAUAUUGGGGGAUGAGCCAUGAUGUGACCAAGCAGUGCGGCGGAAGUGAUCCAGGCCGUAGGGUUGUAAAUCUCGUUGACCAGAGACGAUAGUGACGGUACCGGGAGAAUAAGCACCGGCUAACUACGUG
rnacentral:rRNA from 1 species